UUUGGCUCUCAUAUUUAAAAAUGAAAUUGUCUGUAAUACUUUCCCACUCUCCGGCACCUGAGUCCAUGGCUUUGGCAGCCAUAGUGAUCAUGAACUUCCGGCUAUGUCCUAGAGUCAUUUAUCUCCGAGGAUGUCAGGAGGAACCCCAAAAUGUCAUCAAGACACUGGCUACAGGUCUAAACUCCAAUAAAAUCCAGCUGGGUUACAUCAAUUCAGACAUCUGGAUAAAAGGAUGAAUGAAACCAUGUACAUAAUACAGAAUUAUGCAUGCCAGGAAAAAAAAUUAUACUGCCUAAAAGCUGCAACCUUCAUGACAUCAAAUCUAUUUUAACACUGGCUGGUUAUGUGAGGAAAAGGCUAAUAAAAAAAAAUUCUGGCUG
rnacentral:lncRNA from 10 species